rnacentral:rRNA from 1 species
GACGAACGCUGGCGGCGUGCUUAACACACGCAAGUCGAACGGAAAGGCCCUGCUUGCAGGGUACUCGAGUGGCGAACGGGUGAGUAACACGUGGGUGAUCUGCCCUGCACUUCGGGAUAAGCUUGGGAAACUGGGUCUAAUACCGGAUAGGAACCAUCUUUAGUGUGGUGGUUGGAAAGUUUUUUCGGUGUAGGAUGAGCUCGCGGCCUAUCAGCUUGUUGGUGGGGUAAUGGCCUACCAAGGCGGCGACGGGUAGCCGGCCUGAGAGGGUGUACGGCCACAUUGGGACUGAGAUACGGCCCAGACUCCUACGGGAGGCAGCAGUGGGGAAUAUUGCACAAUGGGCGCAAGCCUGAUGCAGCGACGCCGCGUGGGGGAUGAAGGCCUUCGGGUUGUAAACUCCUUUCGCUAGGGACGAAGCUUUUUGUGACGGUACCUAGAUAAGAAGCACCGGCUAACUACGUG